rnacentral:lncRNA from 1 species
AGUAGCAUCUUAGCUGCUUCCGGCCGCUGGUCGCAGGGCUGCGGGACUACAAUCUUCGCAUGAAAUGGAAGAGAGGGUGGUGCGGAUAGCUUGAGAAAGCCUCCCUUGCUGCCCACCUCUAGUUCCUACUGAGCCUCUUCCCUCCUGGAUGGUAUAAAACAGUGCCACAUGGAGUCUUAGGUCCAGCAUCACAUGUAUUGAGCCAAUAUUCACUAAACAAAUACUUCUGAGCAUCUACUAUGUGCCAGGCAUGCUUCCAGGGACUAAAACCAACAAGAUCCUCCCCUUCAUGGAGCACAAAUCCAAAGUGGAGGAGAGUCAGACCAUGAGUGAGGAAAACAAGCUCAUGAACAAAAUGAGCUAAGUGUCACUGGGACAACAGAACAAAAGCAGAUAAAGAACAGAAGCGUACCUGGGAGAGCUGGCUGAAACCAGGACACGGUGGGACCAUUGGAAAGGACUCUAAACCACAGCAGCAGAAGGAGAGCUAGACUUGCAGGGAC